rnacentral:tRNA from 1 species
UAGAAAAUAGUGUAACGGAAGCACAAGGAGUUUUGAUCUCCUCAGAGAAGGUUCAAACCCUUCGUUUCUAA